UAGCGCUUUAUCAUAGACACUCAAAGCGCUUCGGGGGGGGGGGGGGGGCCUACUCUCUAACACCACCAAUGUGUAGCACCCACCUGGGUGAUGCACGGCAGCCUUACGACGCCAGACGCUCACCACACAUUAGCUUGUGUAAAGUAGUUUUUAUUU